rnacentral:rRNA from 1 species
UACGGAGGGUGCAAGCGUUAUCCGGAUUUACUGGGUUUAAAGGGUGCGUAGGUGGGUCUGUAAGUCAGUGGUGAAAUCUCCGGGCUUAACCCGGAGACUGCCAUUGAUACUAUAGGUCUUGAAUAUCCUGGAGGUGAGCGGAAUAUGUCAUGUAGCGGUGAAAUGCUUAGAUAUGACAUAGAACACCAAUUGCGAAGGCAGCUCACUACGGGAUUAUUGACACUGAGGCACGAAAGCGUGGGGAUCAAACAGG